rnacentral:piRNA from 1 species
UAGUAAUGAAAGGAAAAUGGAGCCAACGG